GAUGAACGCUAGCGGCAGGCCUAACACAUGCAAGUCGAGGGGUAGAGGAAGCUUGCUUCCUUGAGACCGGCGCACGGGUGCGUAACGCGUAUGCAAUCUACCUUAUACAGGGGAAUAGCCCAGAGAAAUUUGGAUUAAUGCCCCAUAGUGUUAUUGAAUCGCAUGGUUUAGUAACUAAAGUUCCAACGGUAUAAGAUGAGCAUGCGUCCCAUUAGUUAGUUGGUAAGGUAACGGCUUACCAAGACGAUGAUGGGUAGGGGUCCUGAGAGGGAGAUCCCCCACACUGGUACUGAGACACGGACCAGACUCCUACGGGAGGCAGCAGUGAGGAAUAUUGGUCAAUGGGCGCAAGCCUGAACCAGCCAUGCCGCGUGCAGGAAGACGGUCCUAUGGAUUGUAAACUGCUUUAUACAGGAAGAAACCCUCCCACGUGUGGGAGAUUGACGGUACUGUAAGAUAAGGAUCGGCUAAACUCCGUGCCAGCAGCCGCGGUAAUGUG
rnacentral:rRNA from 1 species